rnacentral:lncRNA from 1 species
CGAAUUUGGGAGUUAGAGGUUGGAGCUUACAGAUUCGAAGGUGUAUGAAAGUCGCCGGAGAGAAGGUAAAAGAUGAGAGAGAGAUCGGAGGAGAGUGGUUUUAAUGCGAAGAUGAGUUGACUAACGGCACCAUCAUUGAGGAUUUUUGAAGCCAUCGAUGCGCUGAGAUUUGUUUGGAUGUGGGUGGAAUAAGUGAUCAGAGAAUCGGAGAGGAAGUUAUAUAUUGAGAACCUGAGUGAAUCUGAAGAGUUAUAUGCUAGGUGAAACGAAUUCAUUAAGAGGGGAUUAAAGAAAUCUAUUGAUCGUUGAAGAAAGAAGUCGUUACAGAACUUCAUCGAAGAAACGAAGGAGAAGGGUCGACUUUACGCUUUCAUAUGAAAUAGAUUUGGUGAAUAUGAACUGAUAUGAGCUUUUUUAAAAAUAUAAACAGCCCAUUUGAAAGGUGAUCACACGAAAUAUAUAAACGUGGUAUGACGUGUCAAAAUGAAAUCGUUUGAUUGGAUCAUUUUUUUGGCAGACGUGGACACGCUGAGCACUCAGGAUAUCGGCCUUUUAUUAUUGUUAGAU